rnacentral:rRNA from 1 species
AUUGAACGCUGGCGGCAGGCUUAACACAUGCAAGUCGAGCGGGGGAAGGUAGCUUGCUACUGGACCUAGCGGCGGACGGGCGAGUAAUGCUUAGGAAUCUGCCUAUUAGUGGGGGACAACAUCUCGAAAGGGAUGCUAAUACCGCAUACGUCCUACGGGAGAAAGCAGGGGAUCUUCGGACCUUGCGCUAAUAGAUGAGCCUAAGUCGGAUUAGCUAGUUGGUGGGGUAAAGGCCUACCAAGGCGACGAUCUGUAGCGGGUCUGAGGGGAUGAUCCGCCACACGGGGACUGAGACACGGCCCAGACUCCUACGGGAGGCAGCAGUGGGGAAUAUUGGACAAUGGGGGGAACCCUGAUCCAGCCAUGCCGCGUGUGUGAAGAAGGCCUUAUGGUCGUAAAGCACUUUAAGCGAGGAGGAGGCUACUUUAGUUAAUACCUAGAGAUAGUGGACGUUACUCGCAGAAUAAGCACCGGCUAACUCUGUGCCAGCAGCCGCCGUAA